rnacentral:lncRNA from 1 species
UCAAAAAUCAGAAUUUUUAAAAUUCUUACCUGUAGACUGCUCUGAGAAUAUGCCAUUAAGUUCAGGUAGCUUUUUUCAGGAAGGUCUUCCCCAUGUGGAGUUCCCAGUUGUUGAUUACCAUAAUGUUUCAGUGAACUUCUCUAUCCUGAAAAACUCUGAAAUCUGUGGAAAAAAUGAUCAUACUAAAACACUGGAUGCUGAAAUAGCAGAGCAAAAACUGGAUCAUACUUCUACAGAAACUUAUAAAAAGUCUCUGUCACUUUGUCAUGGGAGAAAGGCUUUGCAAGAUCUGACAAAUACCAGUAUACAUUCUCAGGUUUCCUUACCUAAAUCCCCCAAAACUUUAGAAGAAAACUCAGCAGCACGAGCUAGACGAGGAAGAGCCGCUAUUUGCUACAAAGAACCCAAAUUAAACAGCAAAUUAAGGCGUGGAGAUCAGUUUACAGAUACAGAUUUUCUGGAUUCCCCAGUCUAUAAAGUAAAAAAUAAAAGAAGUUUUAAAAGUAAAUCAAAAUUUAUUUGAAGAAGACAAGAGAAUUGCCUUUAUGAACAGUAUUUUUAACAUGUAUACUUUUUUUUUUUCCAAAAUGGUAUAGACUGCUUAUUGUUCUUUGAUUAAUAAAGGUAAAACACAGCCUUCCA